AGCCGGCAAUGUUGACGUUUUGGCAAUGUUUCAUGGAAAUGUUUCACGCAACAUUUCACAGUAAUAUUUUUCAGCAAUGUGUUGAUAAUGUAUUUGCAACGUUGUCUUAUAACAUUUUCUGACAAUGUUUUAAAAAUAAUUACAAGAAACAUUACAAAAACCUUGCAACGCAACAUACUUGAGUAAUAUUUCAUGAUAAUGUUACGAUAAUAUUUAACGCAAUAUUAUUAAAACGUGAAUAAGUAAUGUUAUUACCAUAUUCAUAAAAAACACUGCAGAAAUAUAAUACAAUAAUUUUUCAAAAACAUAUUUUAAUUUAAAAUUGUAACAAUGUUUAUUAAAUAUGUUUCCAAAUAAUAUUGUAAAUUAACAUUUCAGUAAUGUGUAAGAACUUUAUUACGUAAACGUUUCCAAGUGUCACAGCACGCGUCCAUAAAAAGUUACUCGCUGUCGAACGUAGAUUUUCUUAUUCUAGCCGUGUGGACAUUGGAAGAAGGACCGAUUGUAUAUAAUGUUGCCGCAAAGGCCCUUGAAGGGGCACUGUUUAUGCACCGAUACGGGCAGUCCGAGUCAAUCUUCCUGUAAUGCAGCGACCUUUGGCAGCGACGUAUCAACUCUUUCGAUCUUAUCCUAUUCUCGACGAAGAUUUUUUUCCCUCAGUGAAACAUAUUUUUGAGUCAAAGAAAUUGAGUGUAACUGAAAUGAAGUAUUUUAUUUAAAUUUAGAAAAAAUUGGUCUCAUUGAUGUUUCUUUAGAUGAAAAAAAAAAUAUUAAUUUUAAUUAAAGAAAAUUUCUUUGUCAAGAAAAAAUUAGCCUGUGUGGGUGCCUUUCUUUAGAUUUUCGCGUUUUCGGAUGAUCUGCUCGUGCUUGAAGAAAGUUUUAUCUUUAAAAUAUGGUUUAAUUUAUUUGAAAACGUGAGCCGCGCCGUAACCAUACGAUCAUACGAUUCGGCUUCUUCCGGAACUUUUCGGGUAAGUACGACAGUGUGCUUCGUAGUUUCCCUCCAAAACUCACGACCUAACCUAACCUACAAUUCCGCCGUUUGGUUACUCCGUUAGCCAGCCGUUACCUCGUUGUUACAGCCAGAGACGAUGUUGGUCUAUUUUUCCAGUCUCUCUUCUAAUGCAGCCUCCAAAAUAAAUGUUUUUGAAGGGCUUCCUGCACUCCAGCUUGCUCCCUCUUUCUGGAUUUCUUACAUUCUGGAUUAAGAAAGCGGCUACUAUUCUAUGACAUGGCUGUCAGUUUCUCAUCUGAGCAGUCAUCCGAUAGGAAAUUAGCAGCGACUAAAAAUCAUCUGGUUUUGAGAAAUUCACCAUGAAUCGCCUCAAAGCAACAUCAUCAAAAGAAGUUGAAGUGUGUUCAGAGAAAAUAAACAUAAGUACUUAGCAGCUAUUGUUUUCCUAAAAAUUUUAUGUCUGACCGGAAAUUUUUUAAGAAAUUUGAAGUGGUGUGAAGUUCGAUUAGUUACCUUUAAUAUGCAUUGCUCUAUUCUAAAGGAGAAAAUAAAUGAAAGUGAAAGUGCUGUGUUCAAAGUAUCAUGAUUAGCAUCAUUGGUGUUUUUCUUCAGGUUUUAUUUUUGAUGAAGGAUCAGUUGAAUUUGGUGAGUCAUAUCUAUUAUAUUUUCCUUUUGCAUGCUAUUUUGCCACAGGAAACUGUCAAUAAAUUAAAUGAAAUUACCUAAUGCCCUUGUAAUUGAAUCAAUUCUGCAUUUUUUCCCUUCGGUUUGUUGGCUCCAAGAGUCUGAAGGAUGUAGGUACGAAUUUAUUCUGAGAAAUAAGCCUGAAACGGGUGGUGUAUAUCACCCUGUUAAAUUUCACCAUAAAGUAUUGCAGCUAACAGGCCUCGUUCCGACACUAAAGCU